CCUACGGGAGGCAGCAGUGGGGAAUCUUGGACAAUGGGCGAAAGCCUGAUCCAGCCAUGCCGCGUGAGUGAUGAAGGCCCUAGGGUUGUAAAACUCUUUCCCCGACGAUACGGUAGUGCGAGAAGAAGCUCCGGCUAACUUCGUGCCAGCAGCCGCGGUAAUACGAAGGGGGCUAGCGUUGUUCGGAAUUACUGGGCGUAAAGCGCGCGCAGGCGGCUUUCCAAGUCAGUGGUGAAAGCCCGGAGCUCAACUCCGGAAAUGCCAUUGAAACUGGUUAGCUUGAGUACGGGAGAGGUGAGUGGAAUUCCGAGUGUAGAGGUGAAAUUCGUAGAUAUUCGGAAGAACACCAGUGGCGAAGGCGGCUCACUGGCCGUACUGACGCUCAGGCGCGACAGCGUGGGGAUCAAACAGGAUUAGAUACCCUUGUAGUC
rnacentral:rRNA from 1 species